UACGAAGGGGGCUAGCGUUGCUCGGAAUCACUGGGCGUAAAGCGCACGUAGGCGGAUUGUUAAGUCAGGGGUGAAAUCCUGGAGCUCAACUCCAGAACUGCCUUUGAUACUGGCGAUCUUGAGUCCGGGAGAGGUGAGUGGAACUCCGAGUGUAGAGGUGAAAUUCGUAGAUAUUCGGAAGAACACCAGUGGCGAAGGCGGCUCACUGGCCCGGUACUGACGCUGAGGUGCGAAAGCGUGGGGAGCGAACGGG
rnacentral:rRNA from 1 species